GAUGAACGCUGACAGAAUGCUUAACACAUGCAAGUCAACUUGAACUUCGGUUUGGGUGGCGGACGGGUGAGUAACGCGUAAAGAACUUGCCUCACAGAUAGGGACAACAUUUGGAAACGAAUGCUAAUACCUGAUAUUAUGAUUUUAGGGCAUCCUAGAAUUAUGAAAGCUAUAUGCGCUGUGAGAGAGCUUUGCGUCCCAUUAGCUAGUUGGAGAGGUAACGGCUCACCAAGGCGAUGAUGGGUAGCCGGCCUGAGAGGGUGAUCGGCCACAGGGGGACUGAGACACGGCCCUUACUCCUACGGGAGGCAGCAGUGGGGAAUAUUGGACAAUGGACCAAGAGUCUGAUCCAGCAAUUCUGUGUGCACGAUGAAGUUUUUCGGAAUGUAAAGUGCUUUCAGUUGGGAAGAAAAAAAUGACGGUACCAACAGAAGAAGUGACGGCUAAAUACGUGCCAGCAGCCGCGGUAAUACGUAUGUCACAAGCGUUAUCCGGAUUUAUUGGGCGUAAAGCGCGUCUAGGUGGUUAUGUAAGUCUGAUGUGAAAAUGCAGGGCUCAACUCUGUAUUGCGUUGGAAACUGUGUAACUAGAGUACUGGAGAGGUAAGCGGAACUACAAGUGUAGAGGUGAAAUUCGUAGAUAUUUGUAGGAAUGCCGAUGGGGAAGCCAGCUUACUGGACAGAUACUGACGCUGAAGCGCGAAAGCGUGGGUAGCAAACAGG
rnacentral:rRNA from 1 species